UGUUGGAAACAUCUGACCAGGAGAAACUGCUGUAUCUGUUAGGAGAACACAAGAACUGCUGUGUGUUUGCUGCUCAAUAUGUGUCUGCCUGUCACCAUAGAAGAGAAAACACUCAACCUGCCCUGAUCUGAUGUUUCCAGCACGUCUACAUUAUAUUAUACCAAAUUACUGUA